UUGAACGCUGGCGGCAGGCCUAACACAUGCAAGUCGAACGGUAACAGGAAGAAGCUUGCUUCUUUGCUGACGAGUGGCGGACGGGUGAGUAAUGUCUGGGAAACUGCCUGAUGGAGGGGGAUAAAUAAUGGAAACGGGAGCUAAUACCGCAUAACGUCGCAAGACCAAAGAGGGGGACCUUCGGGGCUCUUGCCAUCGGAGGUGGCCAGAUGGGAUUAGCUAGUAGGUGGGGUAACGGCUCACCUAGGCGACGAUCCCUAGCUGGUCUGAGAGGAUGACCAGCCACACUGGAACUGAGACACGGUCCAGACUCCUACGGGAGGCAGCAGUGGGGAAUAUUGCACAAUGGGCGCAAGCCUGAUGCAGCCAUGCCGCGUGUAUGAAGAAGGCCUUCGGGUUGUAAAGUACUUUCAGCGGGGAGGAAGGGAGUAAAGUUAAUACCUUUGCUCAUUGACGUUACCCGCAGAAGAAGCACCGGCUAACUCCGUG
rnacentral:rRNA from 1 species